UACGUAGGGGGCUAGCGUUGUCCGGAAUCAUUGGGCGUAAAGAGCGUGUAGGCGGCCCGGUAAGUCCGCUGUGAAAGUCGGGGGCUCAACCCUCGAAUGCCGGUGGAUACUGUCGGGCUAGAGUGCGGAAGAGGCGAGUGGAAUUCCGGGUGUAGUGGUGAAAUGCGUAGAGAUCCGGAGGAACACCAGUGGCGAAGGCGACACGCUGGGCCGUACCUGACACUGAUGCGCGACAGCAUGGGGAGCAAACGAGG
rnacentral:rRNA from 1 species